rnacentral:misc_RNA from 1 species
GCGAAGAUCAUUAGACUAGAAUGUGUCUAUCACUUACAGGUUCUAUGUUUGGAAAGCAUGAAUCAUUUUGCUUGAAAAUGAUCUAGUUUUCCCUUUUAAGUAGGAAAACAUUUUUUCUACUUAUCGAUUCUCAUAUGCAGAUUUUGUUUUCCACACAAGAAAUUGAUGUAGAACAAAGGGAAAUAACCAAGAAGAAUAAGAAAUCAAG